UACGGGGGGAGCAAGCGUUGUUCGGAUUUACUGGGCGUAAAGGGCGCGUAGGCGGCCACCGCAAGUCAGUUGUGAAAUCUCUGGGCUUAACCCAGAACGGUCAGCUGAUACUGCGGGGCUAGAGUGCAGAAGGGGCAACUGGAAUUCUCGGUGUAGCGGUGAAAUGCGUAGAUAUCGAGAGGAACACCUGCGGCGAAGGCGGGUUGCUGGGCUGACACUGACGCUGACAGCGCGAAAGCUAGGGGAGCGAACAGG
rnacentral:rRNA from 1 species